GACUGUUGUGAGGUAUUUGUUUGUUUUGCAAACCUCUUUCUUAUUUGGAGUUUUAAAAUAUAGUAAAUAAAAUCACAAAGGUAACUGUGGCUCCAGAACAUUUAAGAAAUUCCUUGGUCUGUGAUGUCAUUUCCAUCCUUAAGUCCUUCCACUCAUGGAGUUGGACACACCCAGAGUAGAGACAUUGUAAGCAGUGAGUCCACUGGGAAGGAAAACAACCAGUCCUGGUGUUUUGCCUUCAGGGAAAGCCUUGCUUUUAAGGCAAGUUAAUGUUUACCUGAAGAAUAGGUGACAACUUCCAGAAAGGACUUGGCAUGUAAGUGUAACAAUGAGUCUUUCCAGCAAGCCGCCCAAGCCCUGCUGCUGCCCAAGCCCUGCUGCCAUGUGGGUGCCUUCCGCCAGGCUGCCCAAGUUCUACCCGCUACCAUGUUAAGGUCCCAAGCAAAUUUUCUUUUGGGUUCAUUGCAAGGGUGAGGGGCAGAUAUUGGGGGAUUGGGAGAUGAGAGGAAUUGGGGUGUGUGAUGGCUAUUCUUGGUUGUCAACCUGACUAUAUUCAGAAUGAACUAUAAUCCAGAAAUAGAGGGCACACCCGUGAUCCAGAUUUUGAGGCCAGAAGACAACAUUCCUUUGAACUGGAUCUUCAGGCUGGAAGACACAACACCUUAAAUCCCCACCUCGAGGCUGGAAGGCACACCUUUAAUCUGGGCCACACCUUCUGCUGAAAUCCUGUAUAAGGACAGUGGAAGAAGGGUUUGUUCUUUUUUCCCUGCUUGCCUUUGCCUUGUCAUUCAGAAGACCAGCUGGGACACCCAGCCUCGUGGGACCAAGCAGCUACUAGAUUCUUGGACUUCCCUUCACAACUAGCCAUUGUUGGACUGCAGCCUGUAAGUCAUUCCAAUAAACUCGCAUAUGUAUGACACAGAAGCAGGGAGAGAGUGAUGGAGACAGAGAUUCAUUCUAUAAGAUCUGCGACUCAAGAGAACCCUGACUAAUACAGGGUGCAUGAUGUGAAAUGCCCAAAGAAUCAAUAAAGAAAUUAUGUGGAAAAAAAA
rnacentral:lncRNA from 1 species